ACAAAAAUAUCUUUUGUUUGUAAUUUGGUCUAUAAAUGCCCUUGACGUUAAUAUUUUGAUUCAAAAAUGCUCUUGCUAUUGAUAGUUUGGUCCAAAAAUGUCGUUAUUCUUCCUAAAUGGGUCAAAAAUGUCAUUUUUCUAAUAAAUAUAUUAUUUCUUUUCUUUUGAAACACAUCUUGUUCGUGAUAAAAUAUUGCUUUUAAAGAAUCAUAUUAUUGUUUUCAUUCUUUUAAAAUCACUUUAACUAAUAAAAAUGUAUGAUAUAGUUUUUUCUUCUUCUUAAUCUUAUUUUAUCAAUUAAAAUAGAAUAACUUCAUGUACAAUUUAACGGAUAAUAUAUGCCAUAUAUAUAUAAGAUUAUAGUAAAUUUAUAAUUAAUUUUUAUAUAGAUAAUGAUAAAACACAAUCAUAAUAAAAUAAGAAAUAUUUUUGAUUUUUUAAUUUUUUUUUUCAAAUUCAAGUAGGAUAAACAUUUGCUAAUAAAAAAUUAUUAGGUAAAGAAUGUGUUCAGAAAAAAAAAAACAUAUGUAAUUGGAAAAAUGACAUUUUGAACCAUUAAGUAACAAUAAAGGUACUUUUGGAUCAAAAUAUUGACGACAUGGACAUUUUUGGACCAAGCUAUAAAUGGAGAAAUUUUGUAUUCAUUUCACAUAGUUUAAGAGCAUUUUUGAACCCUUUAUGUUAUGUGUCUCACAUGACUAACACCCAAGUAAGAUGUGGGUUCACUUUUUGAGAGAUAAAAAAGAUGUCUCAUAUAAAUAAUGUUAGUUAUGUGUGACACAUAAUGAGUAAUUAUAUUGAUAAGGAAAACUAGACAAUAAUAUUGUUCGACUGCUUGCCAAUCAUCUACCUUAAUUUUCGAUAUUCAUAUCCUCCUAUCUAGUGUCAUAUCCUUACAAUUGUGUCAUGUCUUGUGUAAUCACCUCCCUCGAAUACUUUUUUGGUCUACUUCUCCUUAGACCCAUCAUUAUUUGUACAAAACAGUUUGAAGCACUCGGGGUGGAGAAAGAAUUAGAGUUAGUUGAUUCUAAUCCUACGAAAGAGUAAACUUUAAUCCGAGUCGAUGCUGAUACUAAUAUACAAUCUCUUAGCAUGCCAAUUGAAGGAUGUAGAAUGUUAUGACUCCAACAUUAUAUAUCUCUAAUCCUGAAGUAGCUCAAAUUAUUCAAGAAAGUCAGGUUGCCAUGUUGCUCAAAUCUAAUUCAGCGAUCAAGCCACCUAUAGUCAUAUUGAACACCUAUGCUCAUGAGGUUUCUUCUCAAAAUUUGGAUUCAUUUGAUAAACAUCAAGGUAAAUUUGGGCAACUCUUAUGCUCCACAAGGAAUGAUAAAGUUUCGGUGAAAGGUAUGUGACCACUCUCUCAAGCUAAUUUCACAAGUGAUUUGAUUAUUUCAAAAGAAAAGUAGGGGGAGAUGAACACUCAUAGGUAGACUGAUUUAAUUGAUAAAGAAGAGCAUGUUUCACAUGUUAUUUUAAAUAAAAAAUUAAGUCCACAAGCUUUGGAAUUUGUACCUAAAAGUACAAUUACAAAAAGAAAAUGAACAAGAGGCCUUAGCAUUAGGACUUAGUCCAAUUGAGGCUUAUGCUAUUGAUUUGGGCAAUAAUUUUUUUUAUGAAGAUGGGGAAGAUAAUAUGUUGGCCAUAUGCUUUGAUAAAGUGGCUAGGGAUGGGAUAUCGCACUGAGGCAUCAAAGAAGUGGAAGGAACAAAAGGAAGACACAUGGAAGGAAGCACAGUUGGGAUGAUAAAGUGACAAAAGUUUGUUCCAAGACACCUACCGAUGCGACUGCCAAAGCAGAAUCAUAUGACAAUGUCAAUAGCUUCAAAAAAAUCCAAAAAAUCUAAGAAAAAUGAUUAACUAUGUUGGACAGAUUUGAAGAAGAAGACACGAGGAAAAUACUUAGGUUACUUUAGAUGGGCUAUCUAUCAUUUUUAUUUCACACAUUUGUAAAAGUAAAUUUGAGGUUGAAACUCAACUUUCUUCUUGGAAUUUAUAUUUAUGCAUUAUUUAAGCAUUUUCAUCUGUAAUAUCAUCAUAGAGUGUAUAGCAAACUAUGCGAUUAUAAUAAAAUACCUAGUCCUCUCUAGUUCAUGCUUGUUAAUUAGUAGAGGUUCGUUACCUCAUUAGAAUUGACAAGGUAAGACCUAAUCCCCUUUGCUUGUACAUAAUUUUAUUGAGGUUUUUUAUUUUAAUAAAAAAACUACAGGACGCUCUGUCUAAUGAUAUAAAUUCACAAAAAAAUGAUCAAUUUCUCACACCUCCUCACUGGACAUCUACGCAACUUCUCUUUACAUGCUUGAUCAUCUCAAUCUUAUCUUUCUUAUUUUAUCUACCAUGAAGAUUGCUUUCACCUUAUCCUAAUUUUCUUUAUUUUUAAUCUUAAACUCUCCUAAUAUGUCCACCGGUGACUAGAUUUAUGAAAAUGAUUGGCACGUUUUCAAUUAAAGAGAAUUCCACGUGGUUCGCCAUUAGUGGCGGGCCUCACAUCAAAUACCAAAUUGAAACACCAAUCACAUUAAAAAUAUUGUGCAAAGUAGUGGUGGCAAAACAACAGAAUAAAUAAAUACUCGUGGGUCCUAUGUGGAAAAGUCAAAAACAUUGCGUACUCGUUAUGACACGUAGUUAUCAAAGAAAAAAUCAAUUUAGCAAUAAUAAUUUCGUUUUUUAAUUGCAUAUUUCUGAACAUCGGCAAGCAGCAAUGGAGAAUCUCUUAGGUCUUCUGAGAAUUCGAGUCAAGAAAGGUGUAAAUCUCGCCGUUCGUGAUGUUCGCAGCAGCGAUACAUAUGUUGUUGUCCAGAUGGCUAAACAGGUCCCAAUUCCACUCAUUUUUUCAACUGUUCCAUACUCUCUCUUUUUUUAUCGGAUUUUUGGUCUAUUACUUUGAUUUUAAUGCUUGAUCAUUUAUGGAAGAAUUUUCAAAUUUCAUGUCAAGAAAGUUACAUUUAAGUUUAUUACCCACUGCCUGUAAUUUUAUUUUCUAGAAUUUAUGCAUCUGGGUUUAUAAUCAGUUUGCUUGACAUCUGAAGGAUGAUAUAUGUGGAAAUUAUACCAAAAAGCUAUCAUCUUUUCGUGGAAAUUCUGGUUACGAUCGUAUUUUUUUGGGAAGUAUUCUAAGUCAAAAUGAUUAUCUCCUGUAGUUAGUAUUUUUUUUCAGAUGUCUUUUUAAGUUUGGACUUUCAAAAUGGGGCUGCGGAAGGAGUGUUAAAGUUUCUUUAUUUUAAACAGUUCUAUCAUAUUUUUGUGGAAAAGGAAUAACCUUUUAGUAGUAUACUAAGGAGGCAUUGUAAGGUGUGCUGUUGUAAUUCUUGUCUUGCCAAGGUUCCUGUAUUUCGGUGUUCUAUGUGUUGAGUCUGGAGCUACAAACCUUUUUGGCUGAUGCAGAUUUGUGAAGUUUACACCAUGAUAAGUACUAGCUUCUUGGAGCUUGACCUUCCAGGUUCUGAAAAGUAUAUUAAUAGGGUAGAAUGGGUUGUGUGCGUGUGUGUUUGAGGCAGGGGAGGAGCCAGGUAGGUCCGACUUCCGAGGGGUUCAUCUUUGACAGAAAAUAAAUGCAAAGUUAAAGUUACUUUUAGUUAUAUAUCGUAAAUGUUAAACCCUAUUCGGUGAAAAUCAUUAGCGAUAAAUUUUAAGAUAUCCUCCUCAAAGUUUACAAAAAGAGCAGCAUUUUUGUUACCUGUUUCAUGUACUAAAUUAAGUUAUAAGAUGACAAUGCUUUUAUUACUCUCUUACUUGUAAUAUCAGUUUUUUUUGCCGUAAUGCAUGACUCAAUUGGUAAUUUGAGCCUUAGUUGCACGGACUCUUCACUUUUGAUGCCGCACCCGUCUCAAAUUCUCCGAAAAUACACUACUUUUAGCAAAUUCGACACGCACCCGUUGGCAUUUUUGAAGAGUCCAAGCAACAUAGCUGAGUUUGAGCUUCCCAAGCCAGGGAGUGAAAUGACAAUUACUAUCUUAUAACUAGCAGAAGAAAUAACAUAAGGACUCGAAUACUUGGAUUUUCUUUACGCUCAAUGCUCUGAUUACUGUGUUAUUUUGUUAUUAACUGCAUGGUGGAUGGGAAGCCACAGAUUUGAAAUGUGUUGUAAAUUCUGAGUUCUUCCUAUUAUCAGUAUAUUAUUAAUUGCUCUCAGACAGUUUUUUGACUCGCCUGUUUUUCAACUUGAAUGCAGAAAUUGAAGACCCGAGUUAUAAGAAAGGAUGUUAAUCCUGAAUGGAAUGAAGAUUUAACUCUUUCUGUUGCAGAUCCCAAUCUUCCUGUUAUGCUGGUAAAGUUUCUUGUUUGCUGGUUAUCAUAUAAAGAUAAGACCCUAUCUGUUUUGCAGAAAACAUAACCGUUUCUUGCUAAUGAUCACUUGCUGGGUGCUUUGAUCAAAUGUUCCUACAUAAAACUAUACACUUUCCAGUGUUUGUAUUUCUUGUUUAUGUUUUCUUCUUUCUGCCUGUUUCCAGACUGUCUUUGAUCACGAUUCGUUCAGCAAUGAUGACAAAAUGGGAGAUACAGAAUUUGACAUCAAACCAUUAAUAGAGGCUCUGAAGAUGAACUUAAGUGGCCUCCCAGAUGGCACCAUUAUAACAAGAAUACAACCGAGCCGAUCUAACUGCCUGUCUGAAGAGUCUAAUGUUGUAUGGAAAGAUGGCCAGGUUGUGCAAAAUAUGUGCCUAAGAUUGAGAAAUGUGGAAUGUGGAGAAGUCGAACUUCAACUUCAGUGGAUCAACAUUCCUGGUUCGAAGGGUUUAUAGAAUACAGCGUGUGUGUAUAUAUAUAUGGUUGCAGUUAGCUGGCUAGCUGCAGUGUAAGAACUGGUUUGUGCUCUCACAACUGAUCUCUAGUUGUAAUAAAUGGAGUUUGUAAUAUAGAAGUUCAAUUAAGAACUACCUAUGCACACUGUACCAAUAUGUUGGGCAAGGUUUCUAGCUUACCGAAUAUUUGGUUUGAAUAACACUGUAACUCAAGUGCACACUUUUGUGUGUAUAUUAUGGUACUACUCCUCCAUCUCAUUUUAUAUGUGGC
rnacentral:lncRNA from 1 species